rnacentral:rRNA from 1 species
UGGCGGACGGGUGAGUAAUGUCUGGGAAACUGCCUGAUGGAGGGGGAUAACUACUGGAAACGGUAGCUAAUACCGCAUAACGCGCAAGACCAAAGAGGGGGACCUUCGGGCCUCUUGCCAUCGGAUGUGCCCAGAUGGGAUUAGCUAGUAGGUGGGGUAACGGCUCACCUAGGCGACGAUCCCUAGCUGGUCUGAGAGGAUGACCAGCCACACUGGAACUGAGACACGGUCCAGACUCCUACGGGAGGCAGCAUG